rnacentral:rRNA from 1 species
AUUGAACGCUGGCGGCAUGCCUUACACAUGCAAGUCGAACGGUAACAGGUCUUCGGAUGCUGACGAGUGGCGAACGGGUGAGUAAUGCAACGGAACGUGCCUAGUAGUGGGGGAUAACUACUCGAAAGAGUGGCUAAUACCCCAUGAGACCUACGGAUGAAAGCAGGGGAUCGCAAGACCUUGUGCUACUAGAGCGGCCGAUGGCAGCUUAGGUAGUUGGUGGGAUAAAAGCUUACCAAGCCGACGAUCUGUAGCUGGUCUGAGAGGACGAUCAGCCACACUGGGACUGAGACACGGCCCAGACUCCUACGGGAGGCAGCAGUGGGGAAUUUUGGACAAUGGGCGCAAGCCUGAUCCAGCAAUGCCGCGUGCAGGAUGAAGGCCUUCGGGUUGUAAACUGCUUUUGUACGGAACGAAAAGCCCUGGGUUAAUACCCUGGGGUCAUGACGGUACCGUAAGAAUAAGCACCGGCUAACUACGUGCCAGCCGCCGCGGUAAAAC